GGCCCGGUCAGGACGCUGUUGCUAUGGGCUUCGUCAUUCCCUUUACCGAGCUACGUCGCUGUGGACGGCUAUCAGGAUGAUUUACCCCAGUAACCGUCUGCAAGUUUAAUUUCUACCGGAGAUGCCGACGUGUUGGUGUUUCAUCGGGUCCCAAGGGCAGCCAGACCCGUUCGACUCAGUCCAUUCAAGAAAACUCUACAAGUCCAGAUGCCUUGCUUAAAUCAUCUCUAUGAAUAUGACCUGGAUGACUGAGACUCUUCAUCUGCAUACACCAGUGUGUUGUCAACAAAGCCUGUGUGAUGGCUGAGACCACCAUCCAGCUGCCUAUGGUGAACACAGCAAUGCUGGCAUGAUGGUACAACAAGCAGAGUCGGCCUCGGGAGACCGAGGUGCUUCAGCAAGCCAUUGAGUCUCCAAAGGCUUCAAUUGCAGCAGCCAUCCACACCUCAGAGAGAAGCUCUCUUGACCAUGGCUGCAGGGGACAACCUGCACAGCUUUACCCUGCCAGCCAAUACAGCAGGCAUGGCCAGGUUUAAAAGGCAGCUGGUGUUUGGGGGAGACAGACCCCCAUCUCUUCUCUGAAUCUUGAGGCCAGCCCGGCAUCUGCUUCACUGCAGCAUCCUGCCACCAGCGCAGCAUCUUUGCUGCAGUGUAUAUCAGUGUGUAUAUAGUGUAAAUAAACACAUUCUUUUGGUAUCA
rnacentral:lncRNA from 1 species